CAAGUAACACCAUACGUCCAAUGGACAUUCAGAAUUGAUCCAUUUUUUGUACAUACGUCCAUGUACUUAAAAUGGACGUCCAGUGGAUGGCCACUUCUGGACACAAUAUGUAUCCUAUUUUUUGCUGUACAAUACGCGUCCAAUGGACGUCCAGUUUGCGUACAAAAAUAGAAAUUUUGAAAAUCCACAUUUUGUAUUACGGUAACAAUUAGUGAUCAAAACAAAUAAGUAAAAAUAAGUAAUUAAGAGCUUAUUUCUAAGUUUUUCAAUUGCAAAUUCUUUAAUUCAAAUAACUGAAGAUGGCGCCACAUGCAAGUUUAUUUACGAACGAUGAGUAGCUAGCCACGCAUCGGCGCCAUCAUAACCACAACAAAUUGGCGCAUUUUUAUUACCUGUGAUUAAUUUAUUGGUUCUUGUUGCGUUUGUGUUUUGCGUAGCGUCUUGUGUACGAUAGUGUCCCUGGUUUUGCUAGACAUCCUAUAUAGAUUUUGGAUUUGGUACUUGGCUGUCUAAGUAAAGGUUAGUACCUUUGAGCUGUUUAAGAAAAUGUACACCAAAAGAUAUAAAAUAUCAAGAACAGUAUAUCGACAGGCACAAGUGCAAACGAAGUUGGACGUGUCGUCUAUAAUUAGGAGUACUGCUGGUCCUUCCUCUCAAAUCGAUCCAACUUCAGUUGACACUAAUUCAUGUCCGAGUGAAAAUUCAUCUGUAUUUCAUCGUACAAAUGAUGACUUGCAAAAUGGUGACGCAAACUUGUGUAUUGGAAGUCUAAGCAAAGACCCAAUUGAUGUUUCACAUAACGUUGAUUCAACGACCAAUAUUAGUACUAAUUUUAGUUUUCAAGAAAAUGUAUCUAAUAGUGAUUUUUCUCGUCAGUUAGCUAGGUGGGCUGUUACACAUGAAAUUCCACAAGUUGCAUUAAAUGAUUUACUAAAGGUUUUAAGAACAAAUUUUGACGUAAGUUUACCCUGCGACUCGAGAACUUUAUUGCAUACUCCGAGGGUAAUAAAAAAUCAAUUGCGUAUAGUUGACCCUGGUCAUUACUAUCACUUUGGACUACUCAAUUGCAUUACUAAGUUACUAUCUAUUUGUAAACCUACUUUGCUUUGCAACUAUAGUACUAUUGAAGUAUGUAUAAAUAUUGAUGGCUUACCCAUCUCGAAAAGUUCUGGUAGCCAAUUCUAUCCAAUUUUGUGUAGUUUGGUUUUUAAUCGAAAUGUCGUAAAUAUUGUUGGUAUAUACCAUGGCUAUGAAAAACCUAAGGAUGCAAACAUAUUCCUUAAAGAUUUUGUAGAUGAAGCUGUUAUAUUAACUAACGAUGGAUUCCAAUUUAAUAAUCAGAUGUACACUUUUAAAAUUAAUUGUUUUAUCUGUGAUGCGCCUGCAAAAUCAUUUGUAACUUACAUCAAAGGUCACAGUGGAUAUAAUUCAUGCACAAAAUGUUACAUUCAUGGAUCCCAUGUUAAUAACCGUGUGUGUUUCCCAGAAAUUAAAGAUUUGAGGCUGAGAACCCAUGAUGAUUUCAUCUCCAAACAGGAUGAAGAUCAUCAUAUGGGCACAUCUAUUCUACAAACAAUUCCAAAACUAAACAUGGUCAGAGAUUUUCCUCUCGACUAUAUGCACCUGAUACUGUUAGGGGUGGUAAAAAAAUUAUUACUUUUUUGGUGUGUUGGGAAACCACCAAAUAAAUUAUCAUCUCGUCAAAUUAACUUAAUAUCAGAUAAUUUAAUUUCAUUUCAACAUUGUAUCCCUUGUGAAUUUGUUAGAAAACCACGUUCUUUAAACGAAGUAAAACGAUGGAAAGCUACCGAAUUUAGGCAGUUUUUGUUGUAUACCGGUCCAGUAGUUCUAAAAAAUAUUCUUUCACAUGACUUAUACCUUAAUUUUUUAUCUUUGCAUGUUGCAUGCACAAUUUUAAGUAAAGCAGAUCAUAUAAAUCAUUUUAGGCCUUAUGCUAAAUCGAAUCUAAAAUAUUUUGUAGAAUCCUUUAAAAUAUUAUACGGAGCGGAAUUUAUGUCACAUAAUAUACACAAUCUUCUGCAUAUUACUGAUGAUACACAAAUAUUUGGUAUACUAGAUCAAUUCAGCGCAUUCCCCUUUGAAAAUUUUUUACAUACAAUCAAAAGAUAUAUUCGUUCGAGCCAUCGUCCGUUGGAACAAAUUAUUUGCAGACUUAGAGAAAUUGAUUUUUGCUCAAAUUCCAUUGAUCUAGAUUCUUCAAAGGAUGAUAUUGUCUUACUAAGUGAACAUCAAAAGGGGCCUACAUUAUCUAUCAAUAAGGCAGAGGAAAAACAAUUCAGGAAAUUUAUUUUUAAGUCAUUUACAUUAACAUGUCUUAAGGGAAAUAAUUAUUGUUCUUUGUUGGAUAACGAUAUCGUUUGUAUUAGAAAUUUUGUUCAAAACGAUCAUGGAAUUUUUAUAAUAGGCCACAAGUUUAGCAAUGUCGCCGAUUUAUAUACAAAACCUUGUCAGUCAUCAGCAUUGGGAGUACAAGUUGUUAGCCAACCUAAAAACCUAGAUAUGUGGAACGUGAAACAUCUGAAAUGCAAGUGUAUUGCUUUACCGUACAAGGAAGAUAAAUUCGCAGUUUUUCCUUUGCUACAUUGAUGUAUAUGAUUAACACUUUUAUUUCUAUUUUAUGUUCAAAGUUUAUUGUUUGUAAAUACUACAUAUUGUGUAAAUGCAUUGUCCUGUAAAUAUUUUCUUGUAUGUAGCAAGUUAAAAAGCUAUGGAUGAAGAAACUUGGAGCGUAGUAAAAUUUGUCCAAGAAAAUAGUGUCGAAGCAGUUCCUUCCAAUUGGCUGCAGCCUGGUGGUAAAUGUUACUUUCCCACUUACAGUAAUAUACGUUUGCAACAGGCAUUGCAACGACGAGAAGAGCCUCGAAAGGAAUGGCCUCUUUACGACAUAUUUUUAUUUAGGAAUAACGUUUAUGAUAAUUUUAAUGUUGCUCAAAAAAAAGCAAAAAAGGCCACAAUCACAUCAGAUCUAGAAUCGGAUUCCACUAUCGCAAUUGUACCACCUAAAAGAAAACGAAUAAUAAAACAUUUUUCAAGUUUUUCAUCUGUUGAAGAUGAAAUAGAACAUGUCAGCAGUUUACCACCACAUCCUCAACUUAAAGUUGUUAAAAAGGUUGUUCAAGCCGAAGUUCAUAGUGUAGAUAUUGAUGAUACAAGUCCUCCAGCUCCAGAUAACUCCGACAAAGUUACCAAAUUAGUAGAAAGUGAUCAAAAUUUGGAGGGUGUGGAAUCCAAUAGAGGAAUGUUGGUUAAAAUACUUCAUAAACAGAAUAUAAUUAUGGCUUUACUAAAUGCGAUGAAUGAAAGGUUUGCCAACAUGGAAAAAAAAAUGGUACUAUCAGCUGAACCUUCCGUAGAAAUCUCAGAUACUAUUUUUACUAAAUUUGACUUCCCCUUCAAUGUUAUUGAAGCACUAGAAGAUUUUGAAACAUUUAUUAACAAUCCAGCAGAGUUCAACAAAGUGGCGAGUUUAAAUACUACAUUAUUAAAUCCUAAUACCCAUAAGCAUUUAGGUUCUGGAAUUUUCAAGACUAGGUGGAAACGUCCCAUACAAUUUUGUGGCAAGGUCCAUGGAAAAGUUGUUUACUAACCAACUUGCGAACAAUUUUAGUUAUUAUGGUCGAAAACAAAAAAGACCUUUUAAUAAAUUAAACGUCAAUAAACUAGUGAUUGAAUCUGGGUUAUCUAUAUUUCCCACAUCCACAAGAAUGGUUUUUGAGCAAUCAAUAGCGAAAUGGUUGAGACGUGCAAAGGAGAGGAAGGACAAAAAUUAAUAAUCAAUGACUGUAUUAUUAUAAACACAUAAAUAAACUAUCAAUAUUA